AUUGAACGCUGGCGGCAGGCCUAACACAUGCAAGUCGAGCGAGCGGCGGACGGGUGAGUAAUGUCUGGGAAACUGCCUGAUGGAGGGGGAUAACUACUGGAAACGGUAGCUAAUACCCCAUACCAUCAGAUGUGCCCAGAUGGGAUUAGCUAGUAGGUGGGGUAACGGCUCACCUAGGCGACGAUCCCUAGCUGGUCUGAGAGGAUGACCAGCCACACUGGAAAUGAGACACGUGCCAGACUCCUAUGGGAGGCAGCAGUGGGGAAUAUUGCACAAUGGGCGCAAGCCUGAUGCAGCCAUGCAGCGUGUAUGAAGAAGGCCUUCGGGUUGUAAAGUACUUUCAGCGGGGAGGCGUUACCCGCAGAAGAAGCACCGGCUAACUCCGUGCCAGCCGCCGCGGUAAUAC
rnacentral:rRNA from 1 species